rnacentral:lncRNA from 1 species
GUUAAUUAGUAUUAUUUUAUUUACUUAAAUUUAUACAAAAUUUUAUUUAACUAAGUUUUCUUAUUAAAUAAAACUUGACAUAAAUAUAAAAAAACACAAAAAUAAUUAAGGAGAUGCUAUAUAUAGACAAAUUUUCAUACUUUGCUUUUUUAAAAGAAGCAGUACAAAAAUUAUUUUUUAAAUUAGUUUCUAUUUUUUUACUAUUAUUUUUUUUAUAUCAAACAAAUUUGACAAAAGAAAGGAAACUAAUUAUAAACAUAUAUGGACAUAUAUAUAUUUAUAUGUUUUUAUGUAAAACAUUUUUUCCCGCGAUGUUUAUAUCUACUUACUUAUGUGUCCUUAUUCUGCUCAUAAAAUUAUAAUGCUAACUGUAACCUAUUCCUAUUCAAUUUUGAUUUAUAAAUAUAAUAAUAAUUUGAAAAUGAAUUAAGUAUUAUAUCAUUUAAAUGCAAAAAGAAUAUAUUUGCAUUUUGAUAUUAUAAUAUUAAAAUAUAAUAAGUCAACCGCGGAAUUAUUUCAUUCUUAUUGUUUAUCAAAUAUUAAACAAGGACAAAUGACGCUUACGAGCAUUGUGAGCGUUAAAUGGAACGUAAUGGUUAUUUAAGAGGAUCCUAACGUCGUCUGUUUUAUGGACAUUUUUUAAAUGAACUAAUCUUUUAAUUGGCUUUGUAAAAUCGCAAAAUUCUUUUACAUAAUUAAAAUACGUAUCAAGAUCUAAAGGAAUGCGGUCGAGUUGAUCAAAAAAAUUUAUUUUUGGUACGUAGAGUACCAAAAUGCAGUCACUUGAUGACAAUAUUCGCAUAGUAUACAAAAUUUACGAUAUAUAUGUCCAAAAUGAAAUCGUAUUCCUCUAGGGAUAACAUACGAACAAUGUCGUGCAAUUCAAAUUAAGAUUAAAAGUCUAGAAAAAAAAUAUUAGCUUCUUUAAUUUUUUAUCAUUGCAAAUCCAAAUAUAGGCUAAUAAAAAAAGCAGUCUGAAAAACAUUUUUUUGUUUCCUGGUGUAAAAUUUAGUUCAUAUAAUGAUAUUAAUACGUGUACUUUAAUUCUGGAAUAGGAUUUCCAAAUCUAUAAAAGAGAUACAUACGAAAUCUUGUUAAUGACAUGUAUGAGUGACUCUACGACAUAUCAAUCCCGACCAAGUUUGACGGACCCUUUAGUAUUUCACUUAAAUGCUAUUUACCUAUAAACAUGUUAAGAUAGAGGAAUGAAACCUAAGAUAGUGGUUGUUCUUCACAAAAAAAAGAUAGAAUAAAUUAGUAGAAAAUUUUUCUCUCUGACAUCCAUUAGGUUAGAGAGAGACGCUAUUAAUUCAUUCCUUCUUUCUCUUUGUAGAGAGGAUUCUUCCGCACCUUAUAAGCAAUCUAUUUUAAUAUGCUAUGUAUUCACCUAUUAAAAAAGAAGGGGGAGUUAUAAUUUUUAUUUUGUUUUAUUUAAAUAGCUUAGUAAAUAUUUAUGUGUCAUAUAAUUCUAGUUGGUAGAGUAGACCAGUGCUGAAAGUAAUAAUUUGAGAUAGAUUUUAUAGCGAUUAAAAUAUAAUAUUUAUAUAACAAAAAAUUGUCUUUAGAUUGGAUGGGCCUACUAGUGGAAUAAUACCUUUGUUCAGAGGUCCUCAAAAUAUACAGAUUGAUCCUACAGAAUUACGUCGAAUUAAAGUUAAUAUUCAUAGGAAUAUUCCUUCAAAAGGAUCUGUUAUCGAACUAGAGAGAGAUAUACUUAAUCCUGAAGAUGUAAUCGUCAAGAGAAGAGAGGAUAAAAUGUUACACUUUUCUAAAAUCUUUGUUCUUUUAAAUCCUUAUUCUUUGCAGAAACUUAAUUAUUAUCUAGCAUUGCAAUGAGUGAAAAGUUAUGUUACAGAUAAGAUGGCAAUUAUCUGCAGUAAAUAACGAUAAUGUUUAUUAUAUUAAUAGCACAAUUGUUUUGUUCUAUUGACUAGAAAUUGAUGCAUUGAUAGAUUUUUUCUUUAUGCAUAUGAAAAGUUUACUAUAAAAAUCGAACUUCAUGAAGAUAACAUCUAUGAAAAUAAUACUUGUGAACAUGUUUUCAACAGAGGAAGAUGUUCUUACACAUUAUUUUGAUCUGUGAGUUUUCCAUGAAGAUAUAAGGAAAUAUAAUCAUGAGUACUACAAAAGGAAGAAAAAAAUGAUAAAAGUAACUCUAUAAUAAAGGUAAAAUAAACUUUUCAUGAUUCACUUGGACGAGCGGAAAAUUGAAAAGAUGUCAAAAUACAGGUACAAAAAUAUUUUUUAAUGAUUGGUUUUUAACUUUUAACUGGUAUUUUAUAGUCCUAGUUUAUGUAAAUUUUUUUUCUCCAAAUUAAUAUUAUUUUAAUUUUAAUUGUUUGAUGUUUUUAUUUUUUUAGACAAAAUAUUCUCUAACUUUUUUAACGUUAUCUGAAUAUAAUAAAAUUAUUCAAAAAGUUUGUACUUCAAUCUAAAAAUUAAAUUAUAAAUUAUUAUUACUCACAGUGAUUAUAACUUAUAAAUUAUAAUCACUAAUAAAGAUCCUAUGUUGUUUUGUAUGUAAUAAAAGAAUUACUAGUUACAGGUUAAAAUUUAUUUUAUACUUGUAUUUAAGGGGAUGCUGGAAUUGUCUGUUUUAUCAACAAAAAGAUAGUAAUUUUUAUUUAACAAUAUCUUUUUAUUUCUUUUAUAGAUUUGGAAAUCCUUCUCCAGAAUAAAAGAAUACGCAUUGCUAUUAAUCUGUGGAGUGGAAUUUCCUCCAAAAACGAGAAAAAAUUGUUAAUUUGCUGUCACAUCAUAACAAUAUGUUUGCUUAAUAUAAAAGAUCUACAGUUUGCACUUACGAAAUUCGUAUUCACAGACUAGUAGUAGACGACGAGAAUAAACAGUGUCGAGUUUCGAAAAUUAGAUUUUAAUGCCUAAUUGAGACGAAAUUGUGAAACGAAAAUUUAGGUUAUAUACGCGUAAAAAGUCGAUAAGUAGAGCAA